UACAUACAUACACACUGUAUAUAUAUAUACACGUACAUACAUACAUACACACUGUAUAUAUAUACGUACAUACAUACAUACAUACACACUGUAUAUAUAUACAUACGUGUACAUACAUACAUACAUACACACUGUAUAUAUAUACAUACAUACGUGGAGUGUAUCUCUGUGCACAAACAGAGUAAUGAGACCCUACUGUAAAUCAGCCAGACAGUAACACAUUAUAAACAUCGAUUUGUUUGGGAUGUUGGAUCCAACGUGGAGCACGGCAUAACUGUCUUUACCAGAGUAAUGAAUGAAGAAGCACU
rnacentral:lncRNA from 1 species